UGGCCUUUUGAUUAUAAUUUAAGGUCUAAUCUGCCCACUGAUAAAUUAAAUGGCCGCAGUAUUUUGACUGUGCAAAGGUAGCAUAAUAAUUAGUUUCUUAAUUAGAAGCUGGAAUGAAAGAUUGAAUGAGAAAACGACUGUCUCAAAUUAAUUUAUUUAGAAUUUUAUUUUUAAGUUAAAAAGCUUAAAUAUUAUUAAAAGACGAGAAGACCCUAUAGAGUUUUAUUUGAUUUUAUUAAUGAAUAUAAUUGAUUUAAAUAUUUUUAUUUAUAGAUUGAAUUUUGUUGGGGUGACAAAAAAAUUAAAUUAACUUUUUUUAUAUUUUAACAUUAAUUAAUGAUUUAUUGAUCCAAAAAUUUUGAUUAUAAGAUAAAAUUACCUUAGGGAUAACAGCGUAAUUUUUUUUGAGAGUUCUUAUCGAAAAAAAAGAUUGCGACCUCGAUGUUGGAUUAAAGUUAAGUUUUGGUGUAGAAGCUAGAAUAUUAGGUCUGUUCGACCUUUAAAACUUU
rnacentral:rRNA from 1 species